AGUUCCCCGGUUUCUCCCCGACGGCGUCGGGAGAAGUAUUCUUCAAAAGCAUGGUUUCUGGGCCUGGCGUGGUGGCUCAAGCCUGUAAUCCCAGCACCUCAGGAGGCCAAGGCGGGUGGAUCACCUGAGGUCAGGAGUUCGAGACUAGCCUGGCCAACGUGGUGAAACCCUGUCUCUACUGAAAAUACAAAAAUUAGCCAGGCGUGGUGGCGGGUACCUGUAGUCCCAGCUACUUAGGACGCUGAAGCAUGAGAAUCACUUGAACCCAGGAGGCAGAGGUUGCAGUGAGCCGAGAUCACACCAUUGCACUCCAGCCUGGGCAACAGAGCAAGACUCCAUCUCAAAAAUAAAUAAAUAAAUAAAAGCAUGGUUUCUGUUAAGACUAAGGAGUGUCCAUCAGGACAGCUUCACCUCCUUGAGGAUUAAAGCCUAACAGUACUGAGCUAUUUGUCUGUCAAAAUGUCUGCAAAAUUGGGAAAGUCAUCAUCACUCCUAACACAAACUUCAGAGGAGUGUAAUGGGAUUCUGACAGAGAAGAUGGAAGAGGAAGAGCAGACCUGUGAUCCAGACUCUAGCCU
rnacentral:lncRNA from 1 species